CCGGUAGCGGUGGGAUGGCGAGCUGAGGCCUUUGGGAGCCCGAAGCUGGUGGAGAGGCUGAAGGGUUCCUGGAGCCGAGGGAGAGGAAGGACGGUGGGGAACAGGUGCCCUGAGACCCGAACUCGCGGGGCGGCUUUUGGUGACAAUCCAGGGGCUUCCUGCCACAGGAAGUUGGGGUGGGCCUCCUAGAUAGGCAGAAGGAAUGAGAAAACGGUGACGGGCUGGCUCCGCCAUCCUUCGACUGCCGCCCCACCCACUGACUUGGAUGUAGCGGCUCGGGAGAGGAUCCGCCGCCCGCCCGGGUGAGUCUUUCCCGUUUCCUUGGCGGAAACAAGGAAAGCAAGGCAAGAAGAGCCAGACGCCGGCUGGAGCCAACGGCAGGAGCACCGAAGCUCGCCCACGAGGCUCUGCAUCAAGGCGUGUUGUUUCUUACACGCCGGUACCGAAAAGUCACCGGCGUCUCUUGGGUGGGAACUUUUGGAGCAAAAGCAGCUUUGCAUUUUUCCCGGUAGGGGAGCACUGGUGGGUGGUGCCAAGGGAAAGACUUCCCAGGCAGUGUUGUCAUUGCCAGGACAGUGACAGCUUAUCGAUUGUAGCUGUCUUCUCCCAUCUAUCCGAGUUCUUCCUUUAUGUCUCCUUUUGGCUUGCACUCUCUGCUCUCUCCUCCCCUCGGUCUUUGUAACUUCACCAGAAGCCUUGAUGUGGUUGGCCGACCUCAAGAUUUCAGCUCCAUUCCUGUCCUGCUCUCUCAGGGAACUUAGCGUGUCUUUAUUGUAAACAAACUCACUGACCCACAAAGGAGUAAUUACCCCUGCUGUGGGCACUAAGUGAAAAUUGUAUGCCUCUCCUUUGUCAAUCAUAAUGAAAAUCAACAAUAUCCCUGCAUAUUUUUUAAAAAAAUCGCAGACAGCCCUCCAAGUUAUGAACCAUCUCCACUUACAUAAGUCCUCAUUUUUUAGGCAGCAUAUCAUUCAUGCCUGAGCAUUUCUCCAGUGCAGUGAGCCAUAUAGCAUAUUAGCAAUGGCUUUAUUUAUUUUUAUUCUUUUGACUAGUUCUCUCUUCCUGUCGGUUUCAGUUGCACCAGCUUCACCUUCAUCGCUGGUAGCUUUUGUUGUUUUCCUGGCUUCAACCUUUGUUUCCUUUUAUGUCAUUGGAAGACUAUUUUAAGUGCUCCAGUACAAAUACUUUUUUAAAAAUAAACUUAAAAUAAAAAAAAAAAGAAUUUUUGCGAAUAUGUUGCUAGCAGUAAGUUUGUUUUAUAUAUUUAAAAUAUGAGUAUUUAAAAUAUAUAAUGAGUAUUCACAAAUGAAACACUUUGCUAAUAGACGUUUUCUUAUGAAUUGAUUGAGAUAAGAAUUGGUUUACUUUAAAUUCUGUGCAGAAAGUUAACUACUUAGUUUCUCCUUUAGGUACUUUAUAGAAAGCAUCAUUUUCUAUAGUUGCCAUGUUCUUUGUACAGUGUCUAUAAUACAGUGUCUUUUUAAGAGGUUUGCAGUUUUUAAGGCUUUCAUACAUAUGUAUAUAUCUUGUUUAUAGUUUAUUAUGUUUUAGUCGGUGUUAAUCUGAGAUGAAAAGCAGUUGCUAAACAGGAAGUUUUAAGAAAAGCCUUUUUUUUUCUAUAGGCAGCUCUUUUGCAUGUAGUGGAUUUUUAGAAUGUUCUUAUUAAAAUUUUUUUAUCUAAAAAAAAAUUCCAUGAACUAUCCUCAAAACUUUAAACAAGAUGAAAUGUCUUCAUCCUAAUGUUUCAUUCAAACGUCUUCAAGGAAAGACCUUUAGUUUCGGCUGUCCCUGUCUCUGUUGCCUGGCUUUGGGACCCUUCCCCCUAACUAGGCUGCCUCUUCCAGCUCAAUAGGAGAAGAUGCACAUAAUCUUACUGAAAUUUGACUUGAAGGCUGGUUGAUAGCCUUGGGAUGUCUCCCUCCCCUUUUCUGAAGAGAAAAGGAGAGUCUUAGGGGAGAGGAGGGAGGGGAAACCUUAGUUGAGAUGUAACAUAACUAAAU
rnacentral:lncRNA from 1 species